rnacentral:tRNA from 1 species
GUCCCCGUAGUUUAAUGGAUAAAAUAUGGGAUUGCGGAUCCCAGGCUGGAGGUCCGAUUCCUCCCGGGGACA